rnacentral:rRNA from 1 species
AGUGAACGCUGGCGGUAGGCCUAACACAUGCAAGUCGAACGGCAGCACAGUAAGAGCUUGCUCUUACGGGUGGCGAGUGGCGGACGGGUGAGGAAUACAUCGGAAUCUACUUUUUCGUGGGGGAUAACGUAGGGAAACUUACGCUAAUACCGCAUACGACCUACGGGUGAAAGCAGGGGAUCUUCGGACCUUGCGCGAUUGAAUGAGCCGAUGUCGGAUUAGCUAGUUGGCGGGGUAAAGGCCCACCAAGGCGACGAUCCGUAGCUGGUCUGAGAGGAUGAUCAGCCACACUGGAACUGAGACACGGUCCAGACUCCUACGGGAGGCAGCAGUGGGGAAUAGUGGACAAAGGGCGCAAGCCUGGUCCAGCCAUACCGCGUGGGUGAAGAAGGCCUUCUGGUUGUAAAGCCCUUUUGUUGGGAAAGAAAAGCAGCAGGUUAAUACCCCGCUGUUCUGACGGUACCCAAAGAAUAAGCACCGGCUAACUUCGUG